CCAAUAGCGUAUAUUAAAGUUGUUGCAGUUAAAAAGCUCGUAGUUGAAUUUCGGGGUUAGUAGGUUGGUCAUGCCUCUGGUAUGUACUGGUCUCACUGAUUCCUCCUUCCUGAUGAGCCGUAAUGCCAUUAAUUUGGUGUUGCGGGGAAUUUGGACUGUUACUUUGAGAAAAUUAGAGUGUUUAAAGCAAGCUAACGCUUGAAUACAUUAGCAUGGAAUAAUGAAAUAGGACGUUCGAUCCUAUUUUGUUGGUUUCUAGGAUUGACGUAAUGAUUAAUAGGGUUAGUUGGGGGCAUUAUUAUUCAAUUGUCAGAGGUUAAAUUCUUGGAUUUAUUGAAGACUAACUACUGCGAAAGCAUUUGCCAAGGAUGUUUUCAUUAAUCAAGAACGAAAGUUAGGGGAUCGAAGACGAUCAGAUACCGUCGUAGUCUUAACCAUAAACUAUGCCGACUAGGGAUCGGAUGAUGUUAAUUUUUUAAUGACUCAUUCGGCGCCUUACG
rnacentral:rRNA from 1 species